GUGUGCUUAUCAAAAACCAAUUCUUAUACAAGGGUUCUGUGUUUGUGGGUUUCAUCAGUCUGUGGUUUUUAUUCAAGGUUUUGAAUUAUUUGUUCUCUUAUCCCUGAAGCAUGAUUGUAUUUUGAUGGUUAUGUUUUUUAUUGAAUAUGAUUGACUUCAUCUCGAUAAGUUCGUAUGAUUUCUGAUUUACUAUCUAUUGUAAUGUUUCUGUGAGUUUACUUUAAUUAUAUAAGCUGUGAGUUUUGGUUAUAUCUAGGGUUCACCGUUUUCUUCUAUUUCUGCUUAUGUAAACUGCCAAUUGAGUUCUGGUAGGGUUCUAUGAGACGCACUUGCAUAAAGAAUCUCUAGGUCGAGCGUGAGCUCCGUUUCUGAUGUUUCGUCUGAGUUUCAUCUCCUCUGACCGUUAUGAGAAGCAUUUAUUUAUUGCAGACUGCAGUUAACGACAUUCUUAACUCCUUCAACCCACUCCAACCAUGAUUUCUCAUUCAAUGCAUCUUCCCUCUCUACGGCUGUUGGAUCUCCAGCUAUAAAAAGUCGACCCUGAUGCUAUCCACCGUGAACGUCCACCAUGACCCUGGCUCAUCUCCUCCACCAAGCGGAUACCACAUAUAUAUAUAUAUAUAUAAUGCUUAUCGAAGAGUUUUGGUAAAUUUACAGCCCCCUUUGCAAGUUCUUCGUGUUACAAAUCCUUCAAGACAAAAACGUCAAGAAGAUGACUGUCACCAACAUUCACCUCCCCGACUUUGAGACAGGAAGUUGUAAAGAGACAGUGGGUACACGACUUCUGUGUUUUUCAGAGGCUAGAAAUGUGAAGAAAGGAGGAGAGCUGAUGGGUGUUGAAGUGGUUUCCGUUGAUGUGAAGUGAUUACACUUAAAGGACUUAAACAAGCCACCGGUUAUUGCUAACAAGGAGUUAGAGGCAGGGGAGGAAGACUAGGAAGUGAUGCAGCCCCUUAUGUGAGACGCCUACCAAUCCCAAACCAACAUGGAGGUUUUGUAAGAGGUGGUUAAGACAAAGGCCAAGCUGGUGGUGGCAAAGGGAAUAAAGGUGGCCCAGCUAAAGAUGCCUAAAAGUAGGAUUGAAAAAUGGAAAAAGCUCUAACAUGGUAUUAGGAAGAACAUGAAGACAACACUAGCUGAAGGCUUUCUACAGUUGUUGACUAUCAAGUGAACACCCUCCUAUGUUUCUAGGAGAAGCCAGAGCUAAAGCCUUUGUUGCUCAAACUUGCGCAGUGCUCUUUUCAUGAUUCAGUGGCUACAUGAGAGUUGUUUCUGCACGAGUCAGAGUUUAGAGUCAGUAACUUAACUUGCUUCACAUUUAAGAUAUUGUGGUUACAUUUGUUUAUCUAAUGAAUAAGCAAACCAGACUCUAAAUAGCUUAACUUGCUUCACAUUUAAGAUAUUGAGGUUACAGUUGUUUAUCUAAUGGAUAAGCAAACUAGAACCAAGUAAAAUACACGUUCCAAAAACGAUUUACAAACAAUGUUCUUUCUAUUAUAUACUAAUACAUGAAUAUGUUUUUAACGA